AACCAGCACCUCAAGUGGUCAGGAUGAUUAUUGGGCCUAAAGCAUCCGUAGCCGGUUUUGUUAGUUUUCGGUUAAAUCCAUACGCUCAACGUAUGGGCUGCCGAAAAUACUGCAGGACUAGGGAGUGGGAGAGGUAGACGGUACUCAGUAGGAAGGGGUAAAAUCCUUUGAUCUAUUGAUGACCACCUGUGGCGAAGGCGGUCUACCAGAACACGUUCGACGGUGAGGGAUGAAAGCUGGGGGAGCAAACCGG
rnacentral:rRNA from 1 species